ensembl:lncRNA novel transcript, antisense to PCDH9
AAAUGACUCAGCAUAGAGAAGCGGGACAGACAUAUAAACAAAGAGCUAUGUAGUCUGGGACACUCAAGCUCCUAUCCUUGCUCGUAGAAGAUCCAACUAUUUGCCCCACAAGCAAACAGUCUCAGCUCAAAUACAGUAUCUUUAAGGAUGCCGGAGAUACAGGAGUGCUGGGAAGGCAAGACCAUGGUCCCUUUAAAUGAUACGGGAGUGCUGGGUAGAGGAAGGGUGUGGUCCCUGGCUAGGGCUCCACCCCCACCGACCUAGAUGAGGACCUGGCACUCCUGCCUGCACGCCCAAAUGUUGUAUUUCCCAAGACCAUCCUGGCCCACCACGGCCCCAUCCUGUGACUAUAAAAACCUGAGACUCUAGCAAGGCAAAGACCGAAACGACUGGACGUGUAGAGGAGCGGAUCAGCAGAAGAAGAUAGAGGCAGGGGGAUGUCAAAUGCAGCAUAUCAGCGUAGGAACACACAGGCCGUUGAAGCGAGAGAGGAGCACAUCAAUGAAAGAAGGCACAAGCAUCUGGAUGGCGAGAGGAUGUUGAGGGGAGCAUGGCAGCUGAAGAGCACACCGACAGGACACACGCCGGCACUGUCCCGGUGGGAGUGGGAUGAGGCGGAGUUUGGUGGGGGCAGUGGGAGGAGAGCCCUGGCCGUGGAGUGCCCCAACUCCAGGGGAAAACCAUCUCCCUUCUGGCUCCCCCAUCUGCUGAGAGCUACUUCCACUCAAUAAAAGCUUGCACUCAUUCUCCAA